rnacentral:rRNA from 1 species
AGGGUUCGAUUCCGGAGAGGGAGCCUGAGAAACGGCUACCACAUCCAAGGAAGGCAGCAGGCGCGCAAAUUACCCAAUCCUGACUCAGGGAGGUAGUGACAAUACAUAACAAAGCAGGGCCAUUUUGGUCUUGUUAUUGGAAUGAGUACAAUUUAAAUCUCUUAACGAGGAACCAGUGGAGGGCAAGUCUGGUGCCAGCAGCCGCGGUAAUUCCAGCUCCACUAGCGUAUAUUAAAGUUGUUGCAGUUAAAAAGCUCGUAGUUGAAAUAAUGGAUUAAAAAAAAAGGAGAAAUCUUUAAUGGUUUCAUUUUUUUUAUUUUAAUUCUUUUGUAAUGAGGAAUUAUUUGUUAUUAAAUUGACGAAUAUUUUAAUCAUUACCGUUUACUUUGAAAAAAUUAGAGUGUUUAAAGCAGACAGAUAUUGUUUGAAUAGAUUAGCAUGGAAUAAUAGAAUAAGACUUUUGGUUUUAUUUUGUUGGUUUUUAGGACCAGAGUAAUGAUUAAUAGGGAUAGUUGGGGAUAUUAGUAUUUAGUAGUUAGAGGUGAAAUUCUUGGAUUUACUAAAGACUAACUUUUGCGAAAGCAUUUGUCCAGGAUGUUUUCAUUAAUCAAGAACGAAAGUUAGGGGAUCAAAGACGAUCAGAUACCGUCGUAGUCUUAACCAUAAACUAUGCCGACUAGGGAUCGGACAAUGUUUUAUGACAUGUUCGGCACCUUUUGAGAAAUCAAAGUUUUUGGGCUCUGGGGGGAGUAUGUUCGCAAGAGUGAAACUUAAAGGAAUUGACGGAAGGGCACAACAAGGAGUGGAGCCUGCGGCUUAAUUUGACCCAACACGGGGAAACUCACCAGGUCCAGACAUGCGUAGGUUUGACAGAUUGAGAGCUCUUUCUUUAAUGUAUGGGUGGUGGUGCAUGGCCGUUCUUAGUUGGUGGAGUGAUUUGUCUGGUUAAUUCCGAUAACGAACGAGACCUUUUCCUGCUAAAUAGUUUAAUUUACUAUGGUAGAUGGUAAAAACUUCUUAGAGGGACUAUAGACGACUAGUCUAUGGAAGAAGGAGGCAAUAACAGGUCUGUGAUGCCCUUAGAUGUUCUGGGCCGCACGCGCGCUACACUGACGAGGGCAACGAGUAUACCUUGACCGGAAGGUUUGGGGAAUCUUUUGAAACCUUGUCGUGCUGGGGAUAGUCCUUUGCAAUUAUUGGACUUGAACGAGGAAUUCCUAGUAAGCGCGAGUCAUCAGCUCGCGUUGAUUACGUCCCUGCCCUUUGUACACACCGCCCGUCGCU